ACAAAAGAUAAUAAAAAGGUUUUACUCAACUCAUAUGAUCAAACUGUGGGAUUCAAUACUACCCAUAUGCCGCGGUUUCUCAUUUUCAGGGAAGAUUUUAUUGCUGAUUUGAUGAAAAGAAGUGACUUGAAUUUACAAUUUCAGGUGUCAUAAGAGGAAGUGGACAACAAAAGAUUGGGGCAUAUGUUAAUUUGGGAGCUUACUAUCUUAUGGGCAUUCCAACUUCAGUUGUAUUAGCUUUUGUCCUGCACCUUGGAGGGAAGGGUCUUUGGACCGGAAUUAUUGUGGCUCUAUUUUCCCAGACACUAUUUCUUGCAAUCAUAAUCACACGCACAGAUUGGGAGAAAGAAGUGAAGAAAGCAUCUGAUAGAGUGUACAACACAAAGACCGCGGCCAAUGUGUCGUAGCAAAACUGGUGCUGAAGUCAUGAUCAUUUUAAAUUGUUAGGUUGGCAUCUUCAAGUUGGUUGUUUGUACCCUAUCACUAGUUUAUCACCUAUCUAUUUCCGUUAAGAAUAAGGGCUAGCAGUGUUCCUUAUUUGUAGGGAAUUA